UAAAGGAAAUUGAAGAGAAAGUGAGGGAUUUCCUUAAAGUCAAGUUCACCAGCUCUAGCACUGCCAGCUCCUACAACCACAUGGACCCAGACAAGCUGAAUGGGCUCUGGAGCCGCAUCUCCCACCUCGUGCUGCCUGUGCAGCCUGAGAACACUCUGAAAGCAGGCAGCUGCUUAUGAGGGAGAGAAGCGGAAAGCCAUCUCGGGUUUGAGCGGUUUUGAGACCUUGUAACCAGAGAUGGAAUUUGGAACAGUUUUUGAAAACUGGUUUCUUUUUAAAGGAAGUAAAGUUCAUACAUAAAAGUGGAAUAACUAAAUCAUUAACCAGCCUAAUUAUCUGUGAUUUGAGAGAAUUGUUUCUCUAUUUCCACUCUGAACCAUGUUCAAGGUAUUUAGCAUAGUGUACAGUAUAUGCAAUUCCCGAGUGUCUGCCUUGAUUCUGGCCGAAUCAUUCUUGCUGUGGUGUGGCCAGUGAGAAGGGCUAGGUUCCUCUUUCAAAGAAUCAGCUCUAUAGUUAACUUUGGAUUUACUUGUGUUUGUGACCUUAUUAAUGGCUGACAGCUCCCUAAUUGUAGCUGUGGAUUCCCCAUAUUUUUUCUCUCAUACCAUUUAAAUGUGUGAUCCUUAGCUGCUGCCUAUAAAAACAGAACUGGAUGUGCGGUUUAGCCAGCCCCUCCCUCACUGGUUUUUAGAGAGGGGAGGAGGGAUUUGGAGGUAGAAAGAGAAGAGAAAUUGUUCAAUAGAGAAGGAAAAGGAAGAAGGGAAAAAAGAUAGUUGCAAGCUGGGCAUGGUAAACCACGCCUGUGAUCUGUCUCAGUAUUGUCUCAGGAGAGUCAGGAGGAACAGAAGUUCAAGGCCAGCCUCAUCUAGUUAGUUGGGUUUUCUGCCACCCUGGGUUACGUAAGACACUGUCUUUAAAAAAAAAAUUUAAAACUCGAAACUUUACUUUUUAAAAAAAGAAACAUAAACGUGACAAGAAGCCUGUGAGGGGUAGUCACGCAGGCACGCCUAGGCGGCGGCCUCUAACUGUUACAGUUUGCCCUUUCUGUUUGUGUUCUUGUGUGAGGCUAAAGCUCAGUGGCGGAGCAUUAGCCCAGCCUGUGCAAUACCCUGGAUUCAGUACCCAGCAUUCCACACGCCUGUCAUCUCGGCACUCACUCAUCACAUUGCGGUUGGAGUAUCUUGAAUUGAAAGCCAGCCUGGAGUAUAUAUAUAUCAAGACCCUAAUUCAACCCCACUCCCCAGUAAAAAAAGAGUGCCAUGGUCCUCCCAAGAUUUUUUAAGCUUGUAUAUUAUGCAGUGUAUUUCCUUACUUAGCUCUUAUCAAUUUGAAAGGUAGGCAGAUUCAAAGCAUUCUCUUUGAUAAUACCUGACAGUUUUUGUCCUAAAGAAAAUAUAGUUUCUGGUACAUCCUCAACUUGAUGGUUUGGGAUUUUUUAAAUUAUUAUUAUUAUUACUAUUAUUAUUUAAUUUUUUUACUUUUUGCCGAUACUAGGAAUUGAACCUGAGAUCCCACACCAGCUGGUCACGUGUUCUCCUGGUGACCAUCCCCUAGCAGUAGAAACACAUUUUGAAGUCAGGUAACUCAUGUCUACAAUGCCAGCACUUGGGAAGUUGAAGAAGAAGCCAUUGUUAGCUGUAUAGUGAGUUUCAAGCCAGCUUGCCUGGGCUGUAGGAUGAAGUACUGCCUCUACACCCACUAUCCCCCUCCCUGCCCCCCAAUACACAACCACCCCCACUACCCCCCUUCCCACCCCUCUGACCCCUACCCCUGUCUCCACACCUACUACCUCCCUCCCCCCCAUCUCCACAGCCAAUACCCACCCCCCCAAUACACAACACAGAGAUAGCUUCAAAAUUGGUAAACAGUUCUCUGCUGGGCUGUUGAAGAGAACUUCAUUUUCUCUGUACAUGAGUACUGGAAGUCUGGGAGUGGUGGUCCAUAACAAAUAGAGAUAUACUAUGCACAUGAUCAUUUUGUCGAGUGAGUACCUCAAGCCAAAAGAGUGAACCUUACCACACGUGAAGAACAGCGGACCUAGGUCUCUAUUGCUCGAGUAUUUUAGAGUUUUUUGCAUUUAUAACUAGGUAUUCUCAUCUGUCCGCUGCUGUUUUGUUUUCUACUCUUAACAAUUCUAGAUGCACCUUGAGUUCUUCUCCAUAGACAUCUAAAUGAGAAUACUACUUUAGAGUCCUAGUCAACUGUUCUUUACCCACUGGGAGUCUCAUGGUGGGUGGUAAGAUUUGUAUUACUAUCUGUUUCGGUCAGGUCAGACUGAUAAGAUUCUCAUUUUGUAAAGAAUUAUAAAAAAGUUUUUGAAAGUCUUUAUUUUUUACAUACAUAUCAUAAGGAAAUAGAAAUGUCUUAUAUUCCACUGACUUAAAUAAAUUUCUUUUAUCUUUCAGAAAAAAAACAAUUGUAGCAGUUAAUGUGUAAAAAGCUUUUAAAAGCUAUUUUAGUAAUUUAAAUAAAUUUACUUUUUGGGUUUGU
rnacentral:lncRNA from 1 species